GGUGGCUGGCUCAGUGGUAGAGUGCUUGUCUUGCAUGCAUGAGGCCCUGGGUUCGAUUCCUCAGCACCA
rnacentral:tRNA from 1 species